rnacentral:rRNA from 1 species
UCAAAAGCGGUUGCCAUAUUAGUAUGUGGGGCAAUAUUGCGAAUAGUUCAAAGUAUAUCUUGAUAAUGACAUAAUAUGCUUUUAGGUCUUGACCAACUCGUGUGCCAGCAGUCGCGGUAAGACAUGGAAGGCAAGCGUUAUUCAUCUUUAUUUGGUUUAAAGGGUACCUAGACGGUUGAUAUAAGCCCAGGAGGGUACUUAAUUAACUAGAGUUUUAUGAAAGAAAUUUAGUACGGUGAGUGUAGGGAUAAAAUCUUUUGAUGCCACUUAGAGACUGGUAUAGGUGAAGACAAUUUUCUAUGUAAAAACUGACGUUAAGGGACGAAGGCUCGAUUGAAGAAACAGGAUUAGAUACCCCAGUACUGUGGGCAGACAAUGAUGAAUGUCAUACAUAUGGGAGGGUUCUCUUAUGUGUAUAAAUGAAAGUGUAAGCAUUCCACCUCAAGAGUAAUAUGGCAACAUAUAAACUGAAAUCAUUAGACCGUUUUUGAAA